UGGGGAAUAUUGCACAAUGGGGGAAACCCUGAUGCAGCGACGCCGCGUGAAGGAUGAAGUAUUUCGGUAUGUAAACUUCUAUCAGCAGGGAAGAAAAUGACGGUACCUGACUAAGAAGCCCCGGCUAACUACGUGCCAGCAGCCGCGGUAAUACGUAGGGGGCAAGCGUUAUCCGGAUUUACUGGGUGUAAAGGGAGCGUAGACGGCAAUGCAAGUCAGAUGUGAAAGGCAUGGGCUCAACCUGUGGACUGCAUUUGAAACUGUAUAGCUAGAGUGCCGGAGAGGUAAGUGGAAUUCCUAGUGUAGCGGUGAAAUGCGUAGAUAUUAGGAGGAACACCAGUGGCGAAGGCGGCUUACUGGACGGAAACUGACGUUGAGGCUCGAAAGCGUGGGGAGCAAACAGGAUUAGAUACCC
rnacentral:rRNA from 1 species